UGAGUUGCGAACGGGUGAGUAACGCGUAGGUAACCUGCCUGGUAGCGGGGGAUAACUAUUGGAAACGAUAGCUAAUACCGCAUAAUAGUAGAUGUUGCAUGACAUUUGCUUAAAAGGUGCAAUUGCAUCACUACCAGAUGGACCUGCGUUGUAUUAGCUAGUUGGUGAGGUAACGGCUCACCAAGGCGACGAUACAUAGCCGACCUGAGAGGGUGAUCGGCCACACUGGGACUGAGACACGGCCCAG
rnacentral:rRNA from 1 species